AAUAGCCGAAAAAUACACGAACUUUCACGAAAUUUGCAAAUUGCACAUGACCUUCAAAAAUAGCCUCAGAAUACAUAACCUUUUAAUUUUGUUGCAAAUUGCACACGCGUUGACCAUCACCUUGAUCGGUGUUGACGUGGCACCGGAGUUUUCAGACGUGGACGCACCGGCAUUCAAAACGACGUCGUUUUGAAUGAGUAUAAAUUAAAAAAAAACAAGGAAAAAUCCCCA
rnacentral:lncRNA from 1 species